rnacentral:lncRNA from 1 species
CCGGGAAGGCUUUCUUUAUAAAACAGAUCGGGACGAGUAAACAUCAGGGAAAAUGUUCCAUCAACAUCAGAGGCUUUUAGACGUGAACUGACGAUAAUAGGAGCGAUUCCGUCUUCUGCGCCAGGUAACGGACGCUCUGGGCGUUUAGAGAUGCGUCCAAGGAUAAAGCGGUUGCCACGAAAGACCAUCUGGACACUGGACACUCAGAGGUGAGGGUUCAUUUCAACGGGACGAAUACUGAUGAGAGACAGGGCGAUCUGUGGGAGAUGUGGCUAAAAGGUGCUCAGAGCUGCACGCAGCGGAUCCGUCCCGCUAACGACGGCCCGACCGCGGGAAUGCAAAUGAAUGAUAAAUCAUGCAGAGGCGCGAGUCCCGCGAGGCGAGCGGCGCUCCCUGCUGACGCCACCGCCGAGGGUCGCUGACGCGUGGCCGGACCUGCUCAGGCCGCUCCCGGAGGCACCGAGCAGAGGCGAUGGCACCGGCAGAUAAGGGCGAAGCGCUGUGAUGUGGCAACACGUCUGUUAGAGCAAGGCGAGCGUGCUGUUUUGCAAACAGGAACACGGGCGGUUGCUCCAGAGCGGCCGCGCUCAGACGAGACACAAAACGGUCGGAUUUGGGGAAGAUUUCACCUUCAGCGCAACUAACAACCAAGGUGACCAAACGUUCCUAUUUCACCGCGAGCACAGAAGAAGAUGAUACCGCCUUAAUUAGGAAUGCACAAAUGCACAAACAACAGCGAGCAGCAUCAGCGGUGCUCCGCCGUCAGACGCCCCUCCUCUGCAGGGACGUGCGGGUCACGGAGACCAACGAGCAGACGCCGCGAUGCCUUUGAGGACCGUCUGACUUUAGCGUGAAUAAAACAUGCCGCGGCAUGUUGGGAGCGACUAUC